rnacentral:rRNA from 1 species
GGUUAUUAGAUGUAAUUAAUAAUCUUACCUGCUCUAUGUGAAAAUAAAUGGCUGCAGUAUCUUGACUGUACUAAGGUAGCAUAAUCAAAAGCCUUUUAAUUGGUGGCUGGAAUGAAGGGUUAAAUUUGGGAAGAAAGUUUUAUGAAUUGAAUUUUAAUUUAAAUUAAAAAUAAAAAUGUUUUUAUAAAUUUUUAGGACGAUAAGACCCUAGAAGCUUUAAAAUGUAAAAAUUAAAAUAUUUUAGUUGGGGAGACUGAAGAAGAAAAAAUAUCUUUUUUAAAAAAUUUUUAAGUUUGAUAAGUUACUCUAGGGAUAACAGCAUUAUUUAAUUAAAGAGUUCUUAUUGAUAAUUAAGAUUGUGACCUCGAUGUUGAAUUAAAAUAAAUUUGGGGUGAAGAAGCUUCAUAAAUUUAGUCUGUUCGACUAGUAAAAUUUUACA